GCAAGUCGAACGGUAACAGGGAUUAGCUUGCUAAUCCGCUGACGAGUGUCGCACGGGUGCGUAACGCGUAUACAAUCUGCCUUUAAGCGGGGAAUAGCCCAUGGAAACGUGGAUUAAUACCCCAUAGUAUGUAGACUUCACCUGGAGAUUACAUUAAACAUUUAUGGCUUAAAGAUGAGUAUGCGUCCUAUUAGUUAGUUGGUAAGGUAACGGCUUACCAAGACGGCGAUAGGGAGGGGUCCUGAGAGGGAGAGC
rnacentral:rRNA from 1 species